rnacentral:lncRNA from 1 species
GUCGUGAUACGGUGGCACCUUCACAAUAAGGUGAUUCUGAUGAAACAAUUCCAUGUCUAUUUCAGCUUCUGCCUUCCAAGAAUUUUCAUCAGAAACAUUCUCUUGGAAAAUCACUUUCGUUCCCUUUAGAAAGUUCUUGCCAAUUAGAAAAACUUCCUCUUCACCCUUCACCGAACAGCUGUGCAGGCUUUUCUUUAGGAUCUCGGGAACUCCUGCUGGUUGAGUGCACAGAAUUGGGGAAGAAGGUGUCUGCAGAGUCAACGUGGAACCAUCUUUGCGAGUGAUGUUAACACGAAAUACCAGCCUGGCACGUGUGCUUUUUUUCUUGGAACCAGCAAUCCCUAUUCUAGCUUCGACAUCAGCAUUUCUCAGCUUCAGUAUUCCCACGCAAUCAACCGCAAGUGUCAUAUUGUUGCUAGGGUCCAGUCCCACCUCAAUAACAGUAGUGCCCUCGAUAUCCACCUCCUUACAGGGAGUGGUGUUUCUCCCAGUAACUCUGCAGGCCUGGUAGAAGCCAUGCGGUUUCACUCGGCCAGAGUCAUUUCCCACGAACACCUGCAGCACCACCGGCUCAUUGUGACCUUCCAGCUUUACAGUUGGAAAACCUUG